ACCGGCGCACGGGUGAGUAACACGUAUGCAAACCCUUGGGGCCGUGACAGAUGGAUAACCGGGAGAAAUCCCGCCUAAUACAACAUAAUGCCGGGAGGGGACAUCCCCUGCCGGCCAAAGGGGCGACCCCGGUCACGGAUGGGCAUGCGGCGCAUUAGGUAGUUGGUGGGGCAACGGCCCACCAAGCCGACGAUGCGUAGGGGUUCUGAGAGGAAGGUCCCCCACAUUGGAACUGAGACACGGUCCAAACUCCUACGGAAGGCAGCAG
rnacentral:rRNA from 1 species